rnacentral:rRNA from 1 species
GAUGAACGCUGGCGGCGUGCCUAAUACAUGCAAGUCGAGCGAACAGACGAGGAGCUUGCUCCUCUGACGUUAGCGGCGGACGGGAGAGUAACAUGUGGAUAAUCCACCUUUAUGACGGGGAAAACCUCGGGAAACCGGAGCUUAUACCGGAUAAUAUAUUGAACGCCAUGGUGCAAGAGUGAAAGGCGGUUUUGCUGUCACUUAUAGAUGGAUCCUCGCGGCAUGAGCUAGUUGGUAAGGUAACGGCUUACUAAGGCAACGAUGCGUAGCCGAGCUGAGAGGGUGAUCGGCCACACUGGAACUGAGACACGGUCCAGACUCCUACGGGAGGCAGCAGUGGGGAAUCUUCCGCAAUGGGCGAAAGCUUGACGGAGCAACGCCGCGUGGGUGAUGAAGGUCUUCGGGUCGUAAAGCUCUGUUAUUAGGGAAGAACAAAUGUGUAAGUAACUAUGCACGUCUUGACGGUACCUGAUCAGAAAGCCACGGCUAACUACGUG